UCGGAUUAGGUGUUAUACU
rnacentral:misc_RNA from 1 species